rnacentral:rRNA from 1 species
GAUGAACGCUGGCGGCGUGCCUAAUACAUGCAAGUCGAGCGAACAGACGAGGAGCUUGCUCCUCUGACGUUAGCGGCGGACGGGUGAGUAACACGUGGAUAACCUACCUAUAAGACUGGGAUAACUUCGGGAAACCGGCGCUAAUACCGGAUAAUAUAUUGAACCGCAUGGUUCAAUAGUGAAAGACGGUUUUGCUGUCACUUAUAGAUGGAUCCGCGCCGCAUUAGCUAGUUGGUAAGGUAACGGCUUACCAAGGCAACGAUGCGUAGCCGACCUGAGAGGGUGGUCGGCCACCCUGGAACGGAGACACGGUCCAGACUCCUACGGGAGGCAGCAGUAGGGAAUCUGCCGCAAAGGGCGAAAGCCUGACGGAGCAAGGGCGCGUGAGUGAUGAAGGUCUUCGGAUCGUAAAACUCUGUUAUUAGGGAAGAACAAAUGUGUAAGGAACUAUGCACGGCUUGACGGUACCGAAUCAGAAAGCCACGGCUAACUACGUG